rnacentral:pre_miRNA from 1 species
CGAUGAUGAUGAAGAUGAUGAUGACGACGAUGAUGAUGACGAUGAUGAUGAUACAUCUUCUAACUUUAAGCACGUCAUCUUCUCCUUCCAUAAUUUAAGCUUGUUAGUCGGGGUUCUUUUGUAUGCGUCAUAACAUCGUCAUCAUCAUCGUUGUCGUCAUCAUCAUCAUCA